rnacentral:tRNA from 1 species
UUCGGAGUGGCUGGGCGGUCUAAGGCGCCAGACUCAAUAGUGUUCUUCUGGAUGUUCUGUUCCACGACAUGGUCGUGGGUUCGAAUCCAACCUCCAAUA